rnacentral:rRNA from 1 species
UGGCUCAGAAUCAACGCUGGCGGCGUGCCUAACACAUGCAAGUCGAACGCGAAAGCCCCGCAAGGGGUUAGUAGAGUGGCAAACGGGUGAGUAACACGUGGGUGGCCUGCCUUCGAGUGGGGGAUAACGUCCCGAAAGGGACGCUAAUACCGCAUNACAUCCUGCCUUUGAAGAGGUGGAGAUCAAAGCUGGGGACCGCAAGGCCUGGCGCUCAAAGAGGGGCCCGCGUCUGAUUGGCUAGUUGGCGAGGUAAUGGCUCACCAAGGCNACGAUCAGUAUCCGGCCUGAGAGGGCGGACGGACACACUGGGACUGAGACUCGGCCCAGACUCCUNCGGGAGGCGGNAGUGGGGAAUUCCUCGCAAUGGGCGCAAGCC